UUGUGAUCUGACCUCAGAUCAGGUAGGACUACCC
rnacentral:rRNA from 1 species